UCUGAGCAGAAGUCGCGCCAGGAACACACUUACAUGGUGCAGCAACUACAGGGAAGACUGGCUGAUUGGGUGGUGAGUCCGUGCACUUCCGGGCAGGAUUCCAGGAAUGUCAGCCUUAACCUUUGACUCCGUGGAUGGGCUCUUGCUUCGUUCGACUUGAGAGUUGCCCCACGUGGACAGGAAGCCCAUCCUGAGAGGAGUUCGAGAGGAGACUGAGGGAUCCCCCCUCCCCAGCGCCCCAAGGUCAAGCACGGAGCAGGGACCACAACUCAAAUGCCUGUGGGAGCCAGAGUCUGUAGGUAGACAUCUGGAAUCAAGGUGUCGGCAGAGCUCUGCUCUCUCUGAGACUCCAGGUGGAAUCUGUCCUUGCCUCUCAGCUGCUGCUGGUGGCCGUCACGCCUUGGUGUUCCUUGGCUUGCAGCUGCAUUGCUCCAUCCUCACCUAGUGUUCUCCCUGCGGAUCUCUGUGCCCACAUAUCCCUCUCCUCAUAAGGACACCAGUCAUAUUAAAUUAAGGACCCGCCCUAAUGACUUUAUCCUGCUGACACCUGCUAGGACCUUAUUUCCAAACCAGGUUAUGGUCAUGAGUAGCAGGGACUGGGAUUUCAAUGUCCCUUUUUGGAGGACACAACUCAACCCACAACAUUCUCCAGCCUCGCCUGGGCCUCCAGGUCUGGCUGCAUCGUGUCCACAUCUCCCCCGCAGGGUCCACCUGGCCAUUCUCCACGAGGGCUCUCCCGAGCCUUCCCCGUCCUCCUCCACGCUCAGCCCUGCAGCCCUUCCCUCACGCCCAACAAGUGACUGUCCCCAGACUUCCCAGAUGCCAACAGCGGGGAACUCCCUACACUUCAUGCAGCGUCUGCCUCUCGCUUCAUCCACCUGCCUUCCUGUUCUCCAUCAUCAUGUUUUCCACAGCUCUAACCUAUACCCAAGUUUUGGAUCCCUUCCCGCCGAUGCAGGGGGCCUGCUCACCUCCCUGUUUUCUCCAGAUAAGGAAACAGCACCACUAUUUACCCAUUUGCUCAGGCUAAAAAUACCUACAAGUCAAUAUUUAUUAUUUUCUUUUUCUGAUUUUCCUCCCUCCGCUGACACAUGUAGUCCUUCAUCAUGCCCUAUCGAAUUUUCCUACUUUAUUAUUUUUAGAGUUUUACCAGUAUCUGGAACUAUUUGUUAAUCAGCUUAUUUUUAUAUUGCCAAUCUGGUCCCAAAGACUAUAAGCUCCAUGAAAAUAGGGACCUUGUCUGUUUCGUUCACUGCUGUCCCUCCAGUGCCUAGAACAAUGCCUAGCACAUAAUAGGUGCUUUGGAAAUCUUUGUUGAAUGACUACGUGAUGGGUGUCAGGGCUCUUAUACAACACAGAAGAUUCAGGGAGGACACUACCUCACUCCUGUGACAUUCACUGUUCAAAUCCUAAGAGCUCCCUUAAAGGCCAACAGUUUGGUCACGUGUGUGCCAAGCUGGAACAUGGGAGUCCCUGCAAAGGUUAGGGUCCCCAGCACUGGGACCUAGCCUCCCUGAGAGUACCACAUGACCACUCUCCCUGAGCUCCUGCCACUGUCACUCAGGUGCUAUUUGGGAACAACUUCAGGUCUCCAUUUCUUCUGGGAUCCACAGACCUUUGUUCUAUAGAUCCUGGCACUCUCUGGCUGCUUCUGCUUCUCACCCUCCAAGGCCCUGAAUGGGUACCCUCCCCUCAAUCACUAAUUAAACAGUUAGGGCAUAAGCUCUUCCCUUGACUAUACCCUGGGAAUCAAGGAGGGAGGGAAGGGAAACAUAUCUCUUUCCUCCUGCUGUUUCUAUCCCAAUCAAAACAAAUUAAAUCUUAUAAUAAAUUACCAUGCCUCAGCCAUUGACAUUAUUCCUCAGACUUCAAGGGACCCUGCCUCCUCGCUUUAGAGGACAGAGGCUGAAACAAAUCUCUGCUAAGAGAGGCAGGAGUCAAAACGUUGUUAUUAGUUCAGAGCCCAGAAGGAGAGUCAAAGAGAAUUAAUGCAGCCAGACCAUCUGGCUUGCUCACAAGCCCGGUUCACUCCUUCUGCACUUAGAGCCUUCUUCAGGGCACCUACCUGCUUUGCCCCCUGCUGUGGGUGCCUGAGCCUAAGGAAAUAAGACCCAGAAAAUCAAGCCUGAGUUGUCUGCUUUUCAAGUGAAGCAGUGGAUGUUUUGCGGGGGAGAGUAUUUGAGG